CCUACGGGUGGCUGCAGUGGGGAAUAUUGGACAAUGGGCGAAAGCCUGAUCCAGCCAUGCCGCGUGUGUGAAGAAGGCCUUCGGGUUGUAAACCACUUUCAGUGGGGAAGAAAGCCUUGGGGCUAAUACCCUCGAGGAAGGACAUCACCCACAGAAGAAGCACCGGCUAACUCCGUGCCAGCAGCCGCGGUAAUACGGAGGGUGCGAGCGUUAAUCGGAAUUACUGGGCGUAAAGCGCGCGUAGGCGGUCUGAUAAGCCGGUUGUGAAAGCCCCGGGCUCAACCUGGGAACGGCAUCCGGAACUGUCAGGCUAGAGUGCAGUAGAGGAAGGUAGAAUUCCCGGUGUAGCGGUGAAAUGCGUAGAGAUCGGGAGGAAUACCCGUGGCGAAGGCGGCCUUCUGGACUGACACUGACGCUGAGGUGCGAAAGCGUGGGUAGCAAACAGGAUUAGAUACCCCGGUAGUC
rnacentral:rRNA from 1 species